UUGAGAAACUUUUCCAGAGAGCGUCAAAGGCCUAGAUAUAGUAAUAACAAUUGUACGUGCAAUUAUCUGAUUUUUUAUUUUUUAUUUUUCCCGUCUAAAAUAUGUUUCCAUUGCAGCUUCCAAUUUUGUUCAUCUAUGAGCUUAGAUAAGACAUGUUUUAACUAAUUUUUUUUUUUUUUUUAAAAAAAAUUGUUGCAAUAGAAAAAAAAAACAUAGGGUAGUCUUUCAGUUUACUCUUUUCCCGUUGAAGUUGGUUUAUCUUGAGAAAGACCUGAACAUGUGAAGUUAUCAACUUCUCUGGAAGGUCACUUUAUGUGCGUUUGUUGCAAUCAAAUUUGUUUUUUUUUUUUAACCUUUUAGGUGAAAUUACCAACUUAAUUUUUGUGAGUACUAAUAUCUUAAUAAUAUGCAGAAAGUUGUGAUCAAGAAGAUGGAUAUGCAAGCAACAAAAAGGUUUCUUGCUGAAUUGAAGAUUUUGACGCAUGUACAUCUUGAUCUUGAUUUUGCAUUACUCAAUAUGUCAAUCCGUUCAGUGGUCUGAGCCAUUUAGCUAGCUAACGUGAUACUUUUCCCUAUGAAAGUCAAGAAUGGUGAUUUAGUUCUGCUGUACUUGAGAUUUAUGGAGAAUAAGAGUUAAUAUUUCACAUGUUGAAAUAUUUUCAGUACGUUUGAUAGGAUAUUGUGCUGAAGGAUCUUUGUUCUUAAUAUACGAAUACGUUGAAAAUGUGUAAAUUUUCUAAGAUUCGUUGCUCAAUUUACUGCAUUCUCUGCACCUAAAAUGAAGAGACUUGCGAAGGCUAAUCCGGGUUGGUUGGUCCGGGAAGUCAAGGGAAAGGCAGAUCGUGUACAAUGUCAAUCCUAUAUUUGAUGUCGAUUCAUCCACACUUCUAUUCUCAGUAAAGGAAGGCUAAUUGCUUGCUGGUUGGGAGCUGUAUGAGCAGUAAUGUGCACGUAUGAUUCCGUGAGAAAGUGACAAAAAACAUGGAGAAGAAUCUCCAAGUUAAAAUCAGUUGUAAUCUUUUUUUUAGUAAUUUGGAUUCUGUACCCAGAUCUGUUGAGUUAAGCAAACACGCAGCGGUCAAGGAUGUUUCCCAUCCUUAUACAGGAUCUAAUAUAAUUAGCUAUCAAUGGAUAAAAUGUAUCUAUUGUAUCUGUUUCUACUGUCAA